rnacentral:rRNA from 1 species
CCUACGGGAGGCAGCAGUGGGGAAUAUUGCACAAUGGGGGAAACCCUGAUGCAGCGACGCCGCGUGAGUGAAGAAGUAUUUCGGUACGUAAAGCUCUAUCAGCAGGGAAGAAAAUGACGGUACCUGACUAAGAAGCCCCGGCUAACUACGUGCCAGCAGCCGCGGUAAUACGUAGGGGGCAAGCGUUAUCCGGAUUUACUGGGUGUAAAGGGAGCGUAGACGGCAGCGCAAGGCUGGAGUGAAAUCCCAUGGCUUAACCAUGGAACUGCUUUGGAAACUGUGCAGCUAGAGUGCAGGAGAGGUAAGCGGAAUUCCUAGUGUAGCGGUGAAAUGCGUAGAUAUUAGGAGGAACACCAGUGGCGAAGGCGGCUUACUGGACUGUAACUGACGUUGAGGCUCGAAAGCGUGGGGAGCAAACAGGAUUAGAUACCCGAGUAGUC